CGACAAUAGAAAUGCUGAUCGUCAGUGCCAAGAUCAACCAGUUAACCUGGUCAUAUUUGUCGGACACAUCAUACCUGUACUUGCCACACUAUUGAAAAGGCCCACAUGGCUAGUAAAUAUGGCUAUUAAAUGCCCUGCAUUCAUCAGAGGCACCAGAAAGACACCAGGGAGGGCUUUUUUCAGCACAGUAGCACCCAGUGACCCAUCGCCAAGACUUCACACAAGGAUCCCACCCUCUCCCCGAUUUCUCUCAUGGUGCCUUCAUUUAUCAGAAAAGCUGUUUCAACUGACUGAUCAUUACAGUAAUCAAUACGUUCACCUAUUACUUUUGUUCUGCUUCAGUGGGUCCCAUUGAGUCCAAAGGCCCCCAAAAUGAAACUGGGGGAAUAGAGAAAGGAGCCAUUAUUUGAUAGAACACUUCUUGAAAAUGAUUAUCUGGUCUGAUUGUGGCUGUGUGCGAGUGUGUGUGUGUCAUCAGUGUAGCCUUUCUUCUAAUGCUUGUUUCUCAGUAGCCGACAAAAGCUAUCUGACACAAAAGGAACCCUUUGUUAUUGUAAAAUACUCAGGUUGUCACACAAUGGGAUGGAAUUCUUUGCUUGUACUUUAACGGAGAGCGGCGCAGUCGAUACAUGGCGCUAACGAUGUUGUUCUGCUUGGCCUAUCGUAAUUGAAAAGUAAGUGAGGCAGAACGCCGGACACUUCUCCUCUGCUCUGAAUUUUCAUUAUUUUUGAUUCAGAUCGGCUUUGGGGACCGACUGUCUCUGUCACUGUAACCGUGACAACGUUCCUUUGGGCUUGGGGAUGCAUCUUUUGAACGCAGCAACCCUUAGUGCUUAUGGUUUAUAAUAUACAGCAGGUUUAUAAUAAAAACGUGUUGACUUUUUAUGUGUUGACAAACAACUAUUUUAUUGCUCUUCAUAAGUUGCCAGUCUCUUUUUUUUUAAUAUACAGCAAUAAAUAUAGAAUUUUAACCCCUUAAAACCUUUUGGCCUGUUUGCCUGUUCUAGAUUGACCCACAUAAACCAUCAUAGUUUUCAAACUAUAUUUCAUACAUUCUAGGGAUAAUUUCUUGACACAUAUUGACACUUUUCAUAUAGUGAUAGACACAACAGCAGUCCUUCGUUCUCAUACUGCUGACAAACAUCUUUGGUAAUCGCUGACAAUGCUCUUUUGUGGGCUCCUCUGUGCCAUUUGUAAUGAGACCGUUUGAGGUCAGAGUGCAAACUAAUCCAAUUCUGUGAUUUUUAACCAGGAGGAAGUGAUGUUCACCAUGCAACAGUUUGCCCACAAUGUGAAUAUUGCUGUUCAUUAUUACUGAUGUGGUCACUUCUUACAAAUAUUAAACUAUCUGUCUGAGCAGUCAUAUGACUUUUAAAGCAUCCAUUGAAUCUGUCAGAACAGCAGACACAACAUGUACAACCCCAUUUCCAAAAAAGUUGAGAUGCCAUGUAACAUGUAAAUAAAAACAGAAUGCAAUGACUUAUAAAUCAUAUAAACCUACAUUUAAUUGAAAAAUGAAAUAAAAACAAAACCAAAUGUUGAAACAGAAAUUUUGUUGUUUUAUGAGAAAUAUAUGCUCGAUUUGAAUUUGAUGCCAUUAACACAUUUAAAAAAAUGUUGGGACAAGGAUAACAAAAGACUGUAAAAGUUGUGUAAUGUCAAAACAAAACAAUUUAUGGAAUAUCUCAGAAUUAAUUAGGGUAAUCGGCAACAGGUCAGUAAGAUGACUGGGUAUAAAAAAACCCCAGAGAGGCAGAGAAUCUGUGCAGUGAGUAUUGCAAAGAAUUUGGGAAUUUCACCAUCUUUAAAAGGUUAAUAGAAUCUGGAGAAAUCUCUAUGCAAGGGACAAGGAUGAAAAGCAGUAUUGGAUAGGCGUGAUCUUUGGGCAUGUAUUAAAAACAGAAAGAAAUCUGUAGUGGAAAUCACUGCAUGGGCUGAAAACCACUGUCUGUGAACACAGUUUGUUGCUGCAUCCACUAAUGCAGAAUGAAACUGUACCAUGCAAAGAAGAAACCAUAUCUACACAUGAUCCAGAAAUGCCACUGACUUCUCUGGGCCUGAGCUCAUUUAACAUGGACUGAGGCAAAAUAGAAAACUUUCCUGUGGUCUGAUGAAUAAAAAUGUCCAGAUUCUUUUUGGAAAUCAAAGCAUCCUCUAGGCUAAAGAGGAGAGGGACCAUCCAGCUUAUUAUCAGCAGAUAGUUCAAAAGCCAGCAUCCGUGAUGGUAUAGGGCAAUAGUGCCCAUGGCUUGGGUAACUUGCACAUUAGGGGUCAAUUGACUACAGAAUUAAUUAUCCAAUAGACAUAGCAGAUCAUGUCCAACUUGAAUGUCCAGCUUUCAAACAUAGAUGCCAUCACUCACUGAGACUUGGUGUUAUGCAGCGCAAAGUACAGGAAAGAUUAAAGAUUCAGUAAUUGUGUUUUUAACUAUUCCAUCCAUCUUACAACCACUUAUCCUGGUCAGAGUCCUGGGCAGCACAGAGCAGGUCUUUGGUACACACUCUGGACAGGAUGGCAGUCCAUUACAAGACACACAUGUGCGUACACUAUGCGCAACUUAGAGAUAUAAGUUAAAUAGCCUAAAUGCAUGUUUGGACUACGUGAGGAAACGGUCACAACAUGGGGAGAACAUAGAAAUUCCACACAGAAAUAGCAGAGAUGGAAUUUGAACCUGUAAACUUGGAGAACUGAAGCCUUUGUGCCACCUUAUUUUUAAUGAAUAUAAAAAUGAAAUAUACCAGGUAUUCAAAAUGUUUUGUCUUGUCAGGGUGCUUUUCCACUGCAGCAGGUAUUAUAUUUUUGGUACGUUACUUUUGGUACUUUUCCUUUAACACUGACUUCCGAUCGAGUUCCUGUACCAAAAGUUCCAGU